rnacentral:rRNA from 10 species
UCUUUUUUUUCUACCACUCUGAAUGCACUUGGUCCUGAAUCCGGGUCUUGGAAGCUAAGCACAGUCAAGCCCUCGUUAGUAUUUGGAUGGGGAGACAAAUUGGGAAAAUUUGGGUGAUGUAGGCU